AUUUGUACAGUCCCUGCCCUCCAAAGGUGCCUAGAGGACGGGCCAGACGCAGCAGAGCGACGCCCCAGGAGCGGAUUCCCCACGAGCAGGGGGGGAGGAGAUGGCCAUCUCGAGGCACAUCACGACCUACAGGCAACACCGGCGAGACCCAGGAAGGUAACCCGAUUGGGAGUCAGAGGAUCCAUAGUACCCGCAGCCUCCCGGACUUCAUAUUCAUCAUGUUCUAAAGAAAGGGUAAGGGAUCUCUUUUCUGCAACGGAAAAAAAAUAA
rnacentral:rRNA from 1 species